UACGUAGGGUGCGAGCGUUUGUCCGGAAUUAUUGGGCGUAAAGAGCUUGUAGGCGGUUUGUCGCGUCUGCCGUGAAAAUUCGAGGCUCAACCUCGAACUUGCGGUGGGUACGGGCAGACUAGAGUGUGGUAGGGGAGACUGGAAUUCCUGGUGUAGCGGUGAAAUGCGCAGAGUAUCAGGAGGAACACCGGUGGCGAAGGCGGGUCGCUGGGCCGAUACUGACGCUGAGGCACGAAAGCGUGGGGAGCAAACAGGAAUAGAA
rnacentral:rRNA from 1 species